rnacentral:rRNA from 1 species
AUUGAACGCUGGCGGCAUGCUUUACACAUGCAAGUCGAGCGGCAGCGCGGGGGCAACCCUGGCGGCGAGCGGCGAACGGGUGAGGAAUACAUCGGAACGUACCCCGGAGUGGGGGAUAACCCAGCGAAAGUUGGGCUAAUACCGCAUAUGCUCUGAGGAGGAAAGUGGGGGACCGCAAGGCCUCACGCUCUGGGAGCGGCCGAUGUCCGAUUAGCUUGUUGGUGGGGUAAUGGCCUACCAAGGCGACGAUCGGUAGCUGGUCUGAGAGGA